GAUGAACGCUAGCGGGAGGCCUAAUACAUGCAAGUCGAACGGUAACAUUGGGCUUGCCCAGAUGACGAGUGGCGCACGGGUGAGUAACGCGUACGCGACCUGCCCCGGCCGGGGCACAGCUGCGGGAAACUGCAGGUAAUACCCCAUGGUCCUCUGGUGCUUCAUGGCACCUGAGGUAAAGCUAUGGCGGCCGGGGAUGGGCGUGCGUCCGAUUAGGUAGUUGGCGGGGUAACGGCCCACCAAGCCGACGAUCGGUAGGGGGCGUGAGAGCGUGAACCCCCACACGGGUACUGAGACACGGACCCG
rnacentral:rRNA from 1 species